rnacentral:rRNA from 1 species
UACAGAGGUCCCAAGCGUUGUUCGGAUUCAUUGGGCGUAAAGGGUGUGUAGGUGGCGCCGUAAGUCGGGUGUGAAAUUUCGGAGCUUAACUCCGAAACUGCAUUCGAUACUGCGGUGCUUGAGGACUGGAGAGGAGACUGGAAUUCAUGGUGUAGCAGUGAAAUGCGUAGAGAUCAUGAGGAAGACCAGUGGCGAAGGCGGGUCUCUGGACAGUUCCUGACACUGAGACACGAAGGCCAGGGGAGCAAACGGGG